UCAACCAGCUGCAGCAGGUCGUAGAAUUUUGUAGCACCGCUGUCCAGCGAGUAGCAGUAAGUAUCUCGCAAGUGGUGGUCCGUUAUCUGGGGAGGGAAAUUCAAGGAACGUCAGUCGUCGUUCAUCCAAGGAUUUGAUAAGAUAAACCUGAAAGGUUUAGAAAUGGCUUAAAAAUGACCUCAAGUUACUCAAAGGUCGUUUGAUUGAUAACGCAAAUUGACCAACGAUAAGGACUGUUCAAAAGUGAUGAAAGCCGAUUCACGAUGGUCAGUUGUACGGGUAGCAAACAAGUAAAAAAACAGAAGAACAGGAAACGAGAAGUAAAAAUCAAUAAAAAUUACUCACCAGUUGUAUUUGAGUAUGGAGAACUUUUCCCCCAGAU
rnacentral:lncRNA from 1 species